AAAGAGAGACGGACCGGUUUCUCCUUCCACUUCCUCCUGUCCUCCGUUCACGAUGGCGGCGGAAGAUCCACGAGCUCCCCGCUGCAGAGGUGUGGGAAGAGCAUGGCGAUCUCCACACACAAGAUGUUCAAGGCUCUUCAAAGAUGAAGAACACAGAUGAUGGCCUCUGGCAGGCGUCUUCACUGUCGCUAAACUCCAAAGCAGCCCGACUUCCCUCUGAGGUGGGAGUUUGGAUAGUUUGAAGGAUGCCACAUGGAACUACAAAUAACCUCUGAAUGGAUACUUGUAGAGGAAGGAACCAUUCAAGUCUGCUGGUGACUCCCGGCUUCAGCAGCAUGCUCGGGGUCUUUCUGAAGGUACCUUCCUCUGGACACCUGGGAGACACUUGACUCUUCUCGCCACCAGAGGUGAUUUCCCAGUUUGACAUCGAGGCUGAGCUGGGAUGAGGUCAUCUGUGUUGCCUGUGCUUGUUUAUGGAGGUUUGACACCAUCUGACUCUUGACAGCACUGACACCUGGGACUACAGUGUAAAUGUCUGCCAUCAUGGGAUGUCACAUUGUCUUGCAAAGCUCCUGCCUGUGUUGGUUCAGUGACGCUAUCUUAAGCUGACUCCUGAGACUGCUGCAGGUCUGGCAGCUCAGUCAUCACAUGGUCUUGAUCUUGUGCUCAGUUUCAACAUGUCCAACUGGAUCUGCUUGCAAAGCUGCCUGCUGCUUUGACUGCUUGACUGUCAACUGAACAUCCAUCGGCCAUCUUAUGCUGCAGUUGUCUAAAGAUCAAGUGGUGAUUCAAAAUGUCAACAUACUCAUGGGUACCACUUGAUUUGCAAAGAACCAAAAACUAGACGCUGCAUCAGCCAGCGAACUGAGCAACAGGACUGCUGUGAAUUCUUGAAUUAACAUUUUGUAAUGGCAUUUAUUUCAAAUAAAGUGUAGCUUCAA